AUGAACGCUGGCGGCGUGCCUAAUACAUGCCAGUCGAGCGAACGGACGAGAAGCUUGCUUCUCUGAUGUUAGCGGCGGACGGGUGAGUAACACGUGGAUAACCUACCUAUAAGACUGGGAUAACUUCGGGAAACCGGAGCUAAUACCGGAUAAUAUUUUGAACCGCAUGGUUCAAAAGUGAAAGACGGUCUUGCUGUCACUUAUAGAUGGAUCCGCGCUGCAUUAGCUAGUUGGUAAGGUAACGGCUUACCAAGGCAACGAUGCAUAGCCGACCUGAGAGGGUGAUCGGCCACACUGGAACUGAGACACGGUCCAGACUCCUGCGGGAGGCAGCAGUAGGGAAUCUUCCGCAAUGGGCGAAAGCCUGACGGAGCAACGCCGCGUGAGUGAUGAAGGUCUUCGGAUCGUAAAACUCUGUUAUUAGGGAAGAACAUAUGUGUAAGUAACUGUGCACAUCUUGACGGUACCUAAUCAGAAAGCCACGGCUAACUACGUG
rnacentral:rRNA from 1 species